rnacentral:rRNA from 1 species
AUUAGAGUUUGAUCCUGGCUCAGAUUGAACGCUGGCGGCAGGCCUAACACAUGCAAGUCGAGCGGUAACAGGAAUUAGCUUGCUAAUUCGCUGACGAGCGGCGGACGGGUGAGUAAUGCCUGGGAAUAUGCCUUAGUGUGGGGGAUAACUAUUGGAAACGAUAGCUAAUACCGCAUAAUGUCUUCGGACCAAAGAGGGGGAUCUUCGGACCUCUCGCCCUAAGAUUAGCCCAGGUGAGAUUAGCUUGUUGGUGAGGUAAGAGCUCACCAAGGCGACGAUCUCUAGCUGGUCUGAGAGGAUGAUCAGCCACACUGGAACUGAGACACGGUCCAGACUCCUACGGGAGGCAGCAGUGGGGAAUAUUGCACAAUGGGCGAAAGCCUGAUGCAGCCAUGCCGCGUGUAUGAAGAAGGCCUUCGGGUUAAAAUGUACUUUCAGUCGUGAGGAAGGGUGUGUAGUUAAUAGCUGCACAUCUGACGUAGCNACAGAGAGCCUC